UCUGAACAGGGUUCAAAGUAGAGAGGCCGUGCUCCAGCAGAGGGAGGGCCCCCGCCCAGCCCUGAGCUGAAAUGACCACAGGCAGCUGCUUUCUCCCAGAACAGGGCUGAAGAGGCUUGGAGCUCUGGGCACUGGAGGAGCCCGGGGCUGCCACCUCGACCUCCUGGCCACCCAGCCGCCCUGCUGUUCCUACCCAGAGAGCCAACGCCCAUGGUUACUAAAGCAAACACUUCUCGAUUUCAAGGUCUCUCAGUUUUCAAUCCAGGACCUUCGAUGCACUUAAAAUACUGCUCUGCGUUUCACAGCAGCCUUUAUGUUUCUGAGCAUUCUCUUGAGGAGACACUCAACACUCACACAAAUUGUAUCUGGGAGAUACAGAAAAACCAGUUUGGCCUGUACAAUGAGCUGUCCCAAUGAUCUGCUCAAAGAUUGCACCUCAACUCCAAGUAGAAGUUGUGUUCACCAAAGGACCUGAGGAACCCAAGAAUGUGCCAUUUGUAUACAGCGGAAAGGCCCUGAGUAGCCGAAGAGGGAGCCAGUGACACGAACAAAGUGAUGGCAAAUGUGCCCUCAGAAGACCUGGCAUCAGGAGGCAGUGGGAUUGCAGGUCAUAGGGCUGAUGACAGUUUCUUGUAACUGCUCAGCCCACACACAGACUGUGAGACUUGGACGGGGAGAGGACACACAACAUUAUUUCGUUCCCUGUGGAUUCCAGCUGCCUAACCACUUAUGCCUUAAUCUCCAAAUAAA